rnacentral:rRNA from 1 species
GAUGAACGCUAGCUACAGGCUUAACACAUGCAAGUCGAGGGGCAUCAGGAAGAAAGCUUGCUUUCUUUGCCGGCGACCGGCGCACGGGUGAGUAACACGUAUCCAACCUGCCCUUUACUCGGGGAUAGCCUUUCGAAAGAAAGAUUAAUACCCGAUGGCAUAAUGAUUCCGCAUGGUUUCAUUAUUAAAGGAUUCCGGUAAAGGAUGGGGAUGCGUUCCAUUAGGUUGUUGGUGAGGUAACGGCCCACCAAGCCUUCGAUGGAUAGGGGUUCUGAGAGGAAGGUCCCCCACAUUGGAACUGAGACACGGUCCAAACUCCUACGGGAGGCAGCAGUGAGGAAUAUUGGUCAAUGGGCGCUAGCCUGAACCAGCCAAGUAGCGUGAAGGAUGAAGGCUCUAUGGGUCGUAAACUUCUUUUAUAUAAGAAUAAAGUGCAGUAUGUAUACUGUUUUGUAUGUAUUAUAUGAAUAAGGAUCGGCUAACUCCGUGCCAGCAGCCGCGGUAAUACGGAGGAUCCGAGCGUUAUCCGGAUUUAUUGGGUCUAAAGGGAGCGUAGGUGGACUGGUAAGUCAGUUGUGAAAGUUUACGGCUCAACCGUAAAAUUGCAGUUGAUACUGUCAGUCUUGAGUACAGUAGAGGUGGGCGGAAUUCGUGGUGUAGCGGUGAAAUGCUUAGAUAUCACGAAGAACUCCGAUUGCGAAGGCAGCUCACUGGACUGCAACUGACACUGAUGCUCGAAAGUGUGGGUAUCAAACAGGAUUAGAUACCCUGGUAGUCCACACAGUAAACGAUGAAUACUCGCUGUUUGCGAUAUACAGUAAGCGGCCAAGCGAAAGCAUUAAGUAUUCCACCUGGGGAGUACGCCGGCAACGGUGAAACUCAAAGGAAUUGACGGGGGCCCGCACAAGCGGAGGAACAUGUGGUUUAAUUCGAUGAUACGCGAGGAACCUUACCCGGGCUUAAAUUGCAGUGGAAUGAUGUGGAAACAUGUCAGUGAGCAAUCACCGCUGUGAAGGUGCUGCAUGGUUGUCGUCAGCUCGUGCCGUGAGGUGUCGGCUUAAGUGCCAUAACGAGCGCAACCCUUAUCUUUAGUUACUAACAGGUUAUGCUGAGGACUCUAGAGAGACUGCCGUCGUAAGAUGCGAGGAAGGUGGGGAUGACGUCAAAUCAGCACGGCCCUUACGUCCGGGGCUACACACGUGUUACAAUGGGGGGUACAGAAGGCAGCUAGCGGGUGACCGUAUGCUAAUCCCAAAAGCCUCUCUCAGUUCGGAUCGAAGUCUGCAACCCGACUUCGUGAAGCUGGAUUCGCUAGUAAUCGCGCAUCAGCCACGGCGCGGUGAAUACGUUCCCGGGCCU